UGUUAGAGAUCUAGGCCGCAAUACACAUAGUCAACGGUCGAGGUCAGCUUUGUAAAGAAGGAGAUCGCAUUCCCACGUAGCGAUACCACAGCCUGAAAUGACAUUAGGAGCGUGUUUCUACUUUUUCCUUAUUGCAACAUGUGCGAGUGAUUCUACCAACCAUGAUGUUCAUGCAAAGUCAUCACAGAAUGGUUUGGGGAAUGUUCACUACGAACACGCGCAGACCCUGACUGGGAACAACGGUCUCUCUUCAG